AUUUUGACCAAGUUUAAGUAGCUUGCCCGAAUUCAUAAUCGCUCAAGUUAUUUCCUGAUUUCAGUUUAACUUAUCUCAGCUUAAACCAAAAUUUGGGCCAUUCUUUUUUUUUUUUAAAUACUAAAUCGACCAAUUCUCUUAAACUUUCCCAUCCCACUUUCUUCCAAACCUUGGGACUAAAUUUGGGUCUCUCCUCCAAUUUUUUGCCGGCCCAACGCAGAAAUAAUUCUUCCAGCCCACUCCCAGUUAAUCCCCAGACCCGACCCAGCCAGAAACCACGUGAAGUUCCCAGACGCGAUUAAGCGGCGUCAAAAGGGGAAACCCAGAACCACAACAGUCCCGGCUGUAAUGGACGCCUCCUACUUUCACGGCGAUAGACGGUGCAAUACAGGGAAAGCAGCAGUUGAAAAACGCAUACAGCAACGCCCAGUAUGCUCUUUGUCUUCUUCCUCCCGUGUCGCUUUCGUCCUCGCAGUCACAGUAGCAGAAGUGGCACACAGGAAUCGUCCUUCAGACUGUGAGAUGAAGCCACGUCGCUCAUCAAGGACGCUCAAUCGAUCCCAAUCGUCCAUUCUCCUUUCCCGUUUCGGAAGGUUUCAAAUUUCAGAGAAAGUUGUUCAUCCUUUUUGGUGAAUGGUUUUGGGAAUUGGAAUUGGGCCCCCUUUCACCCGAUUUUUAUCCGUCCCCCCCCCCCCCCCCUAUAUAACGUCUUUUCCUUGUUCACUGAAAGGGGAGGGGAUUUUUUUUUUGUAGACUUCAGUCGAACUUUUUGAGGCAGAAAGCUGAGAAAAUAGUGAAAGAGUAGCGGGACAGUGAAAGAAUUGUUUAAAGUUCAUUAUCCAGGAAAAUCAAAAAUAGUCUUUUAGUUUGAUGUUCUUAAAGGGUUCUGGGAUUCAAAGUCGAUUCAGACAUCUUGGUUCGUUGUUCGUGUCGGAGUUUGACGUUCACGAAAUUAUCCAAUGGGUGUUGAAGUUCGCUAUUUCCUUACUCGUUGCUGUCACAAUAUGCUGCCCCUCUAAAGCGUGAGAACAUUCUGAGGCUGUUCCCAAGGGAAAGGCUCCGACAUUGUGAUUUAGAGUGUGCAAGAUCAACCUAAAGGUAGACUACGAAUUCCAUUCUCUUAGAUUGAAGUUGAAUGUUUAAUUACAUGUUGAUUAAAGGGAAUUGGGGGCGCGUAACUAGUUUUUCUUAUUUACUUUUCUUGAUAGCAUGUUUUAGGGCUUGACUAGCUCUAUUUUAGGUUUAGUAUCGUGCUUGUCAGGGAUUAUUUAUUUAGUUCUAUUUUAGUGAAUUGACUUGGAUUUUGUUAUUAUGGUAUAAUUAAGUAUGCUUGGCCUAAUUCCGUGACUAGACUAGAUUUUGCCUUAGACUAGCAAUAUUUGUGGUAUUUAGGACUUUUACUCCUCCGGCGUCAUUUUAAACGGUUUAACUCAUUAUAAACUGAAGCAGCGGACUUAAGUCUAAUAAAAUGAGCCUUAGUUUAGGCGUUGAUUCAGUUUUUCAAAGUUUCUAUUAACUCUUCCUAUUUCUAUGACCCAUUGCCAUACUUGAGGUUUUAUGCUUUGUUAGGUGACUCAAGAUUGGAGUCGUGCAAGCCGAGAGUCUUUUAUCGAUUCCUCGAGUUAAAUGUUGUUCCACUGUAGUUUGGGUUAUAGGUGAUACAUGAUACUUCGAUGUUCUUAUUGGUUCCCACAUGUUUACUCUUUCUUAUUAGGCUAGUGCCCUUGGGAGCUUACUAUCUGCUAGGCGAUGGUCUUAUUGGUACCCUGAGAUUAGUCUUGCUAGCUAGUUCAUAGCCCCUGUGAAACUAUUAUCUUGUUGGGAGAUGCUCUUAUCGGGGCCUUCGAGUUACGCUUCUAGCUGGACUGAUGCCCGUGGGAGUGUAUUUUCUAGUUAGCCAAACCUAGGGUUUAUUUUUUCUAGUUGGGCUGGUGCCCUGGGAGUUUAUUGUUUAGAUGGGGCGAACCCAUUAUUGAGUACUUAUGGCUUGAGGUGUUUACUUGGGGAUUGAUUUCCGGAUUACAUCUAAUGGAUCUAGAUUCACUUUACUUCGCUCUUGUAGUUUAGCUAUUUUGUGUACAUGUCAAAUUUAUGGAGGUUCAUUAAAAUUUUACUUAAACCUGCGUACGAGUGUACCUUUUGGGCUUAUGGGUCCCAAUUAGGUUUAAUUUAGCUAUAUUUAGUUUUUAUUUCUUGUACCCUUGUGUGUGUUUUUCUUUAAAUUCUACUUUGACCUUUAUUGGUGUCUAGAUUCCAUCUUUUCAUUUUUUUCUACCAUUGAUACUUACUCAAUUAAACUAUGAUGCCUACUGGAUACUUUUUCUUUGGUACUUAUACUACAUAUGCAUGAUUUCGUGCCUACAACAACUUUUGGAUCAGAGGUUAAAGUGAGUAGUUCGUGUCUGGACUUGCCUUUAUAUUUAAUAUUUUUAAAAAUUUCCAUUCUUUUGGAAAAUAAAAUAUUGUAUUUUUCUAUUUUUAAAUCAAUAUAUAGUUAUACUUGCUAAAAGUUGUAAUUCUAAUUUACUUCAACCUCAAAAGAAAUGGUCUCUUCACUAACUUUAAAUUUCCGACACUAACUUCAGAUUUACUCCUUUAUUUAUUAAUCUCUAACUAGUUAUCAUUCCUAUAGGACAAAGAUUUCUUUCUAAAUGAUAUCCGAGGAUAAAGACAAUUUCCGUGAAACUCUUUCAUUUCAUAGAAAUUCAUUCUUAUUUUUACAAAACAAAUAGAUAUGUGAUAAAUAAAGACUUAAAUAAAUUUUUGGAAGUUCAAAUUACCUGUUGCCGGUGACCAACAAUGUUGCAACGUCCUUCUGCUGCUGCAACACUGGCGUGGCGCCGCGGUCGAUCAAGGGCAUGGGUGUGCGCUGGUGCGGGAGGUAGGGUUGAGAGAAAAGGGAAAUUAAUCAUCAUUUCUAUUUUAAAACAAGUGAUAAUUUACCGACCACAGGAUGUCAAUAUCUUUUAAUAUAAUUAUCUAUAUUUACAAAUAUUUAAUAAAUACUGAUAUCAUGAAGUCGAUUAGAUUUAAAUUAAUUAACACCGACCUCAAGAGGCUAGUAUAUUUAAUAUUAUUAACAUCGGGAUUUAUUAAAUAUUUGUAAAUGUAGAUAAUUAUAUUAAAAGAUAUUGACAUCCCGUGGUUGGUAAAUUAUCACUUGUUUUAGAAAAGAAAUGAUGAUUAAUUUCCCUUUUCUCUCAACCCUACCUCCCUAACCAGUGCACACCCAUGCCCUUGAUCGACCCCGACGCCACUCCAGCGCUGUUACAGGAGCAGGACGUUGCAACACUGCUUAUCCCCGGCGACAAGUAAUUUUAACUUUCCAACAUUCAUUUUUAGUCCUUAUUUACCACAUAUCAAUUUGCUUCGUAAGACUAAGAAUGAACUUCUAUGAAAUGAAACAGUUUCUCGUGAACUUUCUUGAUUCGCGGAUAUCAUUUAUAAAGAAAUCUUUGUCCUAUGGGUUAAUAACUAGUUAGAGAUUAACAAAUAAAAGUGGAAAUUUGAACUUCGUGUCGGAAAUUUAAAGUUAGUGAAGAAACCAUUUUUUUUGAGGCAGAAGUGCAUUAGAAUUACCAAUUUUAGAAAGUAUAAUUAUAUAUAGAUUUAAAAAUAGAAAAAUACUAUAUUUUUUUCCCAAAAGAAUGGAAAAUUUUCAAAAAUAUUAAAUAUAAAGGCAAGUCCAGACACGAAGUGCUCACUUUAAUCUCUGAUCCCAAAAUUGUUGUAGGUACGAAAUACAUGCAUAGUGUAGUAUAAGUACCAAAGUAAAAGUACCAGUAGGCAUCAUAGUUUAAUUGAGCAAAGAUGGUAGAAAAACAUGAAAAGAUAGAAUCUAGACACCAAUAAAGGUCAAAGUGAUAUUUAAAGAAAAAUCCAUAAGGGCACAAGAAAUAAAGACUAAAUACAACUAAACUAUAAGAGCGAAUUAAAGUGAUUCUAGAUCCAUUAAAUGUAAUCCGUACAUCAAUCCCCAAGUAACCACCUCAAACUACAAGUACACAAUAAUGGGUUACUGCAGGGGCACCAGCCCAACUAGAAAAAGUAAACCCUAGGGCUGGCUAACCAGAAAAUAUACUCCCACGAGCAUCAGCCCAUUAAUGAAGAGUAACUUGGAGGCACCGAUAAGUGCAUCACCCAACAAGAUAAUAAAAUCACAAGGGCUCUCACCUAGCUUACAAUACUAAACUCAGUGUACCAAAAAGACCAUCGCCUAGAAUAUAGUAUGCUCCUAAGGGCACUAGCUUACUUACCAAGAGUAAAGAUGUGGGAACCAAUAAGAACAUCGAAGUAUCAUGUAUCAUCUAUAACCCAAACUACAGUGGAACAACAUUUAACCCAAGGAAUUAAUAAAAGGCUCUCGUCGUGCAUGACUCCAAUCUUGAGUCACCCAACAAAGCAUAAAACCUCUACUAUCGCAAUGGGCCGUAAAAAUAGGAAGAGUGAAUAGAAAAUUUGAAAAACUGAAUCAACGCUUAAAAUAAGGCUCAUUUUAUUAGACUUAAGUUUGCAACUUCAGUUUAUAAUGAGUUAAACUGUCUAAAACGAUGUUGGAGAAGUAAAAGUCCUAAAUAUUGCAAGUAUCGCUGGUCUAAGGCAAAAACUAGUCUAGUCCUAGAAUAAGGCCAAGCAUACUUAAUUAUACCAUAAUAACAUCCAAGUCAACUCACUAAAAUAGAAGCUAAACACACAAACCCCGACUAGUGUGGUGCUACACCUAAAAUAGAGCUACUCAAGUCCUAAAACAUGCUAUCAAGAAAAGUAAAUAAGAAAGACUAGGUAUACGCCCCCAAUUCCCUCUAAUCAACAUGUAAUUACACAUUCAACCUCAAUUAAAGAGAAUGGAAUUUAUAGUCUACCUUUAGGUCGGUCUUGUGUGUUCUAAAUCACAAUGUCAGAGCCUUUCCCUUGGGAACGACCUCAGAAUGUUCUCAUGCUAUUAAAAAAUAAGAUCACAACAUCAAUAUGGUUAGUUAAACACCAAAGAAACAUAAAUGAAAAUGGGCCAACUUUUGAAUCAAAUGGGAAUCAUGGGACCUGAAUCCGAAUUCCCUGUUUGACUUUGUCACAAUGCCUAAAAUAUUACGUUGAAUUUGUGUUCCAAAAUGGAACACAAUUCGAGGAUCAGAGCAGCAAGACAACCAAAAUACAGAAACUCAAAAUUUAGAGCAAAAAAUAAGUCAUGUUAGCCAACAAUAACUCGAAUUUACCUCGAAUGGAGACCCUACAAUAGUUCCAACCAUCCACACACAUAUCCCCAACAGUUCAUGAUUAUAAGACUUAAAACCACCGAAAAUGGAGUCAAAUUGAUAGUAUAAUUGCUGAUGGAUGUUGGUACUUAAAGGUGCCUUGCGUUUUGCUCUUUUCUAAUGCAACUUAGAGGUGUCACAAAUGCAAAGACCAAGAAUUUUAACCUUUGGAAAUGUGGAAAGAGUCCUUUGAACGCGAAGGCAAAAGAAGCUAAGGGACUUCGAAUGCGGUUGGGUUCUUGCGAAAGCGAAGGCCAGAGCCUAACCCUUUUCAAAUGUGGCCUGGACCCUGCAAAGGCGGUGACCAAAUCUCGCGGUCUCUUCAAACACGGCCCACAACUUUAUCAAGUGGAAACCAAAAUUGGCUUGCACCAACACAUGCAUGUCAGCUAGUUUGGCAACUUGAAAAACUAUAAAAGGGUAUUUCAAAUUCGUUCAGAAUCUCGUAUAUACAAAUGAGAUAUGCUACUCUACAAAAUUUGAUAUUUUGACUUAAUGGUACGAUAAAAAUUUUCAUGCGAGAUCAUAUCGACAAAAAGUGGCCACAAAUCAAAACUUCAUUUAAGCUAACGUCGGAGAACAAAUAAGUCCUAUAGACAACAAGUAUUGCAUGUCUAAGGCAAAAACUAGUCAAUUCAUAAAUUAAGGCCAAUCAUGCUUAAUUAUACAAUAAUAACAACAUCCAAGUCAACUCACAAAAUAGAACUAACCACAAAAUCCCAUACUAGCAUGGUACUACGCCCAAAAUAGAGACAAUCAAGUCCUAUAACAUGGUAUAAAGAAAAGGAAAUAAGAAAAAGUAGCUACCGGCCCCCAAUAAACUCUAAUCAACAUGUAAUUGCACAUUCAACCUCAACCUAAGAGAAGGGAAGUCAUAAUCAACCUUUAGGCUGAUCUCGGGUUCUCUAAAAUCACAAUGUCAGAGCCUUUCACUUGUGAACGACUUCAGUGUUGUCACACUACCAAAAAUAGGAUCACAAUGCCAAUACAGUCAUUUCAACACCAAAUACAUAUGAAUGAAAAUAGGAAAUUUUGAAUCAAAUGGGAAUCAUGUGUGUUCCACAAUGGAACACAAUAGGGAGUAGUCAAGAGAGCCAACAUACAACAAUUCAAAAUUUACAACACAAAAACAAGUCAUGACAACCUACAAUAACUCGAAUUUACCUCAAGCUGAGAUCCUGCAAUAAUUUUCAAUUAUCGACUUACAAAAACUUCUAUUUAACCAUCAUUAAUAACAAAGUACACGUUGUUGGAUAAAAUUACCUCUCUAUGAUAGUCGUACUCAAAAAUUAAUUGAGUAAUACUCCCUACUUCCCAUUUUAUAUAAGGUAGUUUGACUCGACAAAGAGUUUAAGAAAGAAAGGAAGACUUUUUAAACUUGUGGUCCAAAAUGAAUGAUAGAAAUUUGAGUGGCUGUAAAUAAUUUCAUUAAGGGUAAAAUAGACAUUUUAUAGUUAAAUAAUUACUUAAUAUAGAAGUAUGUCAUUCUUUUUGGGACGGACUAAAAAGGAAAGUAAGUCAUAUAAGUUGAAUCAAUAGGGAGAAAUAUUUUGUAAAAGAUCUAUUACAUAUUAGGAUAAAAUAUUGAAAUAUAUUGGUAAUCCUUAUUAGUGUCAUGCACAUAUUGGAUUUCAAGUAUGCAUAUUUAAGACAAAAUUUGUACUUAAAUGAUCUACAUCAUGUAUGUUCAUAACCUCAAGAGGAAAGACUAUUGGCCACAUUUUUUAAAUGGGUUAUUUUUUUAUUAUUUUGUGGAUUAGAUUUGUUUACAAAAUUCAGUGAAUUAAGAAUUAAUACUACUAAAGAAAUGUCACUUUCUCCAAUAUUUAAACUUUAAAUUUAUUUUAAAAUAUUUUAAUGAUAUCUGGUCAUUUUGAUAUAAAAAAUGUAAGUAACUCUUUGACAAUAUAUUCAAUAAUAAUUACUUACUAAAAAACUUUAACUUGGUAAUUUUUACUGUAUUUUAUAACAUUGUAUACUAUAGAUAAAAUACAUACGUGCAACGCACGUGCUGUGAAACUAACUAGAAAAUAAACUCCCACGGGCAUCAGCCCAACUAAGAAGAGUAAUUUGGAGGCACCGAUAAGAGUAUAACCCAAAAAGAUAAUAAAACCAUAGGGGCGCUGACCUAGCUAGCAAGACUAAACUCAAGUUACCAAUAAGACCAUCGCCUAGCAGAUAGUAAGAUCCAAAGGGCACUAGCCCAGUUAGCAAGAGUAAACAUGUGGGAACCAAUAAGAACAUCAAAGUAUCAUGUAUCAUACAUAACCCAAACUACAGUGGAACAACAUUUAACCCAAGAAAUUGAUAAAAGGCUCUCGUCGUGCACGACUCUAAUCUUGAGUCACCCAACAAAGUAUAAAACCUCUAUCGCAAUGGGCCGUAAAGAAGAGUUAAUAGAAAAUUUGAAAAACUGAAUCAACGCUUAAAAUAAGGCUCAUUCUAUUUGACUUAAGUUUGCAACUUCAGUUUAUAAUGAGUUAAACUGUCUAAAACGAUGUUGGAGAAGUAAAAGUCCUAAAUAUUGCAAGUAUCGCUAGUCUAAGGCAAAAACUAGUCUAGUCCUAGAAUAAAGCCAAACAUACUUAAUUAUACCGUAAAAACAACAUUCAAGUCAACUCACUAAAAUAAAACUAAACACAUAAUCCCCGACUAGUGUGGUGCUACACCUAAAAUAGAGCUACUCAAGUCCUAAUACAUGAUAUCAAUAAAAGUAAAUAAGAAAGACUAGGUACACGCCCUCAAUUCCAUCAAAUCAACAUGUAAUUACACAUUCAACCUCAAUCUAAGAGAAUGGAAUUCGUAGUCUACCUUUAGCUCGAUCUCGUGUGCUCUAAAUCACAAUGUCGGAGCCUUUCCCUUGAGAACAACCUCAAAAUGUUUUCACUAUAUAUAACAAAAUUUUCUGACAAAGUUGUGUCCCAGGAUACCCCUUAGGCCUUCCUAGAUCCGCGCCUGCGCUUUCGGAUGAUGAGUCACAAGGAGUUUACACCUUCUCGGUGAUAACUACAAAACUCUCUUUAAGCCUCCAAUUAAAACUUUUACAAGUUUCUGUUUAUUAAGAGUUAUCCGAAUAAGGCAUAUUCCCAUUCAUAUCGUCAUACCAAGACUUGCAAGCCAUUGGAACCAUGUCAUUUUCAUAGUUAGCCAUUUAAAACUCUUAACCCGUCCUUUAAAAACCAGAGACUAAUUUAUGUUAAAAUUUCCAUUCAAUGCCAACACCCAAGUCUUUCCAAGUUAUAAAACUACAUAUAAAAUGUAAAAUCAUUAACAUUUAACCACGAUGGAAAAUUAGCCUUUGUUCAUUAUUUAAACCAAAGCUUUUGAAAGACUAAAAAAAUUCUCAAAUCCAUUAUUAUAGGCAAAACCCUUUUCAAAUCAUAUGACGAAAUUUAGUAAUUCAAAACCAACAAUCUAAUUCUGAAAUCAUAUUAAAGUAAUUUGUCAUAAUUAACAACAUAGGAGCAUUUGUAAUCAAUUUUCAUGAAAUCAUCUUUCAACCCUUACCUUGUUCAUUAUAUAGAAAAAAGGAAUAAUAAAAUAUAAUAUGAAUCUUGUAUAAGUAGUUUGAAGUUAGGAGUGUUUAAACACACCUUUUGAUGAAGAACUGAAGAACGAGACCUUGAGAAUUAACCUUAGAUAUUGCUUCUUGAAGUGUUGUGGAAGAGGAGGAGAAGCAUUUUUCGUAACUUAUAAAAUCUCCUAGAAUAUUACUUUCGGAAGAACUUGAUAGUCAUGGAUUAGGGUUAUGGUUUGAGGAAAGGACUAAAACACCCCUUCUAAAAUAUGAAAGAAAGAGAAGACUUAAACAAUUUCAGAGCAUGUGUGCAAUGGUGCAGCUUGAGCCUACAUUGUGAGGCUUUUUGAGUUACAUUAAUUUUUCGAUGUGGCCGGAUGACUGAUUUGUAUUUCACGCGGCGGAUCACACAAAAUCUGUGGUGCUUAAUAAAUGAGCAUUACUUUUAGAAUAUAACUUAGAUGGUCGAAGCUGUUGGAACAAAGACUUCACGACCUUUAAUUUUAGUUGUAUUAGGCCACAAAAUCUUAAUACUCAAGGAAUACCUUAUGAUCUUAGUUCACAUCGAAAGAUCUUCCCAAAGAAAGAAAAUAUUUUAAAUACCGAUCCAACAUUAAAAAUUAUAGGAUUUAGAGUCUAUAUGCAUUUAAAGAAUGACAAAGGUCAUAGUUUCAAAAUUUGGGGCGUUGCAAUUUUGAUCCCUAGUUUAUCAAGUUCAAUACCCUGAUAAGGUAUAAAUCUCAUCUUCAAAUUAUCUCAGAGGUUCGACAUGGUGAACUCACGUGGUGAAUGUUGAUUAUAAAAAACUUUCCAAUUUAGUAAAACUCAAUAGUAUUUUUAUCUAAGUAUGAUUUAUGGUAUAAGGCCACCAAUCAUAAAUAGUUUUGAUAUAGAUAUUUAGUUAGACAACAUUCAAUUCAGUUAUUAGUUGCUUGAUUCAUAUUUUUAGUUUUAAUUCACAAGUAAUGAUUCAAAGGUCUUUUUUGAAUUUUUUUGGAAACUUAUCAUAUCCCCCUUUUAGUUGGCCAAAUCAUGUUUGAUAAUAUUUUGGGAAUUGAUUUAAACAGGAUCGUAAAGUUGAGAGUUUUGAUAGUUUGGAAUUCAAACAUUUGAUGUUUUGAGUCUGGUAACGAAAUUUUGUUAGUUCCUUCUGCUCCGAAUGUAACUUUUGAGUUAUUAGGACUAUUGACUUAGGUCGAGGUAUUUAGAUGGGGGUUUCUUGUAUAUUUUUUUUUUAAUUUUGAAAGUUGAAAAAUAAGAUAUUUGAGCAUAGCUAGUAUUUGGUGAUUGCAAUCUCGCAAUGGCAUUUCGACAAUUCUGUUGGCUCUAAAAUGCGAUUUUUGGUCUUGAUGAAUGAUUGGUUUGGGUCCCAUGGUUUUUUGUUUGAUUUUGAGCCAUUGGACGAGAUGAAGAGAAAGUUAAGAUUAAAGUUUUACUUUAGCUAAUGUUUGAGGUUAAAAAGCUCAUUUUCAAGUUUUGAUGAUUUCACUAGGUUAAAAUGAUGAUCUUUGGUCUAGUUGAAGGUUUGGUUAAGUUUCCGAAGCUUUUGGAUGAGUUUCUUAUCUUUCUUUAGAAAUUAAUAUAUUUAAGUUAAAGUUGAAUUUGGUGAUUAUUGUAUUAAGAUGACCAUGUUUUGUUAUUUUGAUGAUUUCAUUGAGUCCGAAAUAUCAUUUCCAAUCUUAUAACAUAUUUGGUUUGUGUUUAGGAGGUUCCAAAUGAGUUUCUAGUGACUUUCUAAGCUUUUUGAGUGCUUUGACGUUGUUUCAACAAUUUGUUCAACUAUAAGGUUUGUUAUUAGUUUUAGCUAUCAAAACACUAUUCUGAAACUUCUAAAAUUUUGAGCAUGAAUUAUAGUAUUGAUCAGCGGUGUUUGGUGCAUUUUUACUAUGUCGGGAUUAGACUUUUAUCAUGAUACAUGAAAGAAUUAUUUAUAGAGCAUAAAUGAUAUUUGACUAGGUAAACGAGCACAGACUUGAAUUCAGAAUUAUCGAGCAGGGCCGUGUGAUUAUUUAAUACAUUUAGAAAAUAGAAUUAUGUCAUUUCUUUAUGGUGUAAAUAUUGAUGUUCUGGUAUUUAAAAUUUCAGACUAUGUUCAUUUUGUAUUUUGAGCACAUUAGGAGUUCUAGAGCUUGGAAUAGAGUGAUUCUUGUGACGUUCUUCUUGAUAUAAUAUGGAGGUUGGUAAGCAAUUUUCAUUUUGGCAUUAUCUCAUGAUUUCUGCAUAUGGUUUUCUUUCCUUAUUGGUGUAUUUCUUAGGGGGAAAUUGGAGUUCAUUGAUUUAGACUUUUUUUUUAAUUGAAAAGUGUAUAAUUAAGAUCCUUAUGUUUAUAGGUAAAUUGAUCUUGGCAUAAGUUGUUGAUUCAUAAAUUAGUUUUAUCAUAUUGACCGCGUAUAAACUUGAGAAUUUGAGUUGUUUUUUUAUGGGUAAAGUUAAAGUUUGAUAAGUUGAGGAUUUCAAGGUACGUCGAUUUUAACUUUGUUUUUGAUGAAAUUACAUAUUUGAACUUUCCUAAGCAUGAGUAAUCUAUCUUUAAAUCUAUUUUUCGUAUUCGAGCCGGGGUUCCAGACCCGAGUAUUAGGGCUUUUCUCAUGACUUUGUGUAAGUAAAUUAGAGUUUGGAGCAUAAUGCUAAAUUUUUUUCGUUACAAUGUCAUUUUCCAGUUUCAAAAUAUUUGGGUUAUAUCAUUUUCUAUUAUUUUACCUUUAGCCUUGGGGAUCGAUUUUUGGGUCGUUUCUAACCUAGUUUUCAAUAACAACUUUACAGAUGUUGUUGUUCAAGAUUUUUAUUGAGAUAAUAUAUUUGAUUAGAUUUGGUAGAUUUGGAGACUUAUCAUAAAGGGAAGGCCCAAGUACCAAAUUGAUUUCACUCUCUUUUAAGGCAAGUGGACCUUUUGAAUCUUUGUUAAGUGUAUUGGGCCUUUUACGUCAUUAUGUAAUUUUGAGUAAUUAAAACUGAUGAAGGGUUUGGUAUAUUUUUUGUCUUGUAAAUGGUCAAUAAGUGUUGUAACUAUAACUAGGGGUAAAAUAAAAACGUUGUUGGUUUGUGGUAUAGAUUGUGCCUUGAAUACUUGAAUAACUCUAUUAAUUCACCUUGAUGAAGUGCCUUGAUUAUUUGUGGUUAGAUGUUGGUGGUGUAAUUUCAUUAAAAAAAAACUCCUAAAUUACUACAUCAUGGAUAUUGUGUUGUGCUAUGAGAAUAGGGAUCGAUUAUUCAUAGAUCUUCAAAUUUUUUCGAAGGAAAGAAUAAACCAAAUAAAGAGAAAUAUUAUAUUUUCCUUUUAGUAGAAGUUCAAGAAUUUAUGGUAAUACUUUGAUUUUUCUUUAAGAAAAAAAUAAGCUUGAAAUAAUAAGGAAAAAAAAUCAGGUCAAUACCAUAACAAAUCUCCCUCUUUGACUGAAUUAUCUUGAAAAAACUUGAUCUACUUUCCUCACAUGCAUGAUAAUCUUCGUUCUUUCACAUAGUCUUUAUCACUGUUGUUUUUCAUGGUUAAGAUAAAGUUUAAAAUAUAUGGCUUAAAAAUGGUUUUAAAAUAUUUUAUUUUUAUUUUCAAAGAUGCACCAACAUGAAUGUUUAAAAUACGAUAAAUCUUCUUUAUCAGCAAACUAGUUUGAAACCACAUUAGAUCAAUGAACAUAUGCUCUAAUACACUUGUUGAGUUAUGAAAGGUGAAUUGUGCAUCAUGCGGAAACUUACAAUUGCAUAUCAUAUCAUUGAUAAAUCAGACGACAAAAAUUUAUAUAGAAAACAUAAUAUCAUUGAUAAAAACUAAUAUAAAUGAAAAAUAUUAAAAUUAUUGAGAGAACAAAUCCCCCUAUAAACAAAACUCCUAGAUGACUACAUUGUAAAUUCUAUUGCGUUGUGCUAUGAGAACAGGAAAAUUUAAUUUAUAUAUCUUUAAAAAGUAAAGAAUAUGUUUUCCUUUCAGUAGAAGUUCAACCAUUUGUGAUAAUACUUUGAGUUCUCUUGAAGGAAAAAAAUAAACUUAAAAUAAGAAACAAAAUCAAUGCAAAACCCAAUAUGCCAGACCAGACAAUAAUGAUUCUGAGUUUGGUCAUUCCCAAAAGGUAGAUUCAAGGGUAACAAUCAAAUGAUAUUCAUAUUUUAUGAUAAAUAAAUAUAUGAAUUCAUAUUUGACCUACACUCUUAAAAUAAUCUGAUAAUAAUCAUUCAAAAUGGAUUGAAUCGGAUGAAAAAUCUUGAAUUUAAUCCAUUUUCAUUCUUAGAUUCACGUAAUUCAUUAAUAUAGCAAUCAACGGCCAAAAUUAAUUUAGUAACGUAUCAUCUCAUUUUGUCCUUUAAAUACCCUUCAAUGCUUAGCUUGCAUAAAUGAACUUAUAAAUCACACUCACCCCCACCCUUAGUUAUAGCUUGCAUCUUCUUUUUUUUUAAGCGGUCUAAAAUUUUACCAUUUCUGUUUUAAAUUUGAUGUGGUGUCACGACCCAACCCACUGGACCGUGUCGUCACCUAUUCUAGCACCACAUAACCAACUACUAGAAAACAUGCGAAAUUUGAUGAAAAUGAAGGCAAGUCAAGGAAAUUUAAGAAAAUAGACAUGUUAUAGGGUAAAUCAUUAUUACGACCUCCUAUUCAUGCACUUGAACAUUUUAUGUAACUUCACAACCCCUUGGAUCUAGUUUAACAGGUAGAAGAGCUACUAAGAAUUACAACAAGAUAACAAUUUAAUAUAAGGAAACAGCUCCCACCAUGCGUAAAGAAGACUCGAAGCUGCUGGAGGAUUUCUUCAUCUUCACCUAAUGAAACGUCACAAAUGAAGCAUCCAGACUAUGUCAAAAAAGGCACAACAAGAGUAGUAUCAGUAAAACCAUACGUUCUGGUAGGUAUAAUCUGUCGACCUGACACCCACCUCAUAAUAUAUGAACAGAUCAAUAAAAGAUCAUGUCUAGAUCCCCCGCUUCUACUCCCUUAGCCUUUAAAUAGAACACCUUCAAAUUACAACCCAUCUUUUUCUUAUGAGAUUAGAAACUAAACGCUAACAACCUUGUAUAUUAAAGUACCGCUACCACACUUAAAAAUCCAAUAGAUCAUAACUAAAACAUACUUACCACAUUGUAUACUACGAAUAACACUACCACAGUUAAGAUUCCAAUAGAUCAUAACUUAAACAUACUAACUGCAUUGUAUACUACGAGUAACACUACCACACUUAAGAUUCCAAUAGAUCAUACCUUAAACCAACUAACCAUAUUGUAUACUACGAGUAGUACUGUAACACCCUGUAUCCAAACAGACCAAAAAUUUAUCUUUUCAAAAAAACUGCAGCUGCAAUCGAUGGACCGUAGCCUGAACCAUGGCCAGUUUUGCACAUUCAUCGAUUGAGUCAGAAACCCCCAAAAAAACUCAGCCCAGAAAAAUUUGACUGUGGAACGACGGACAGACCUACGGUUCAGGUUCUCAACAUCCAGAUCGCGCUUAGAUGGAUUUUCGAUCUCCGUUUCAGUACAUUCAGUGGUGCAGACAUAGGUGGACGCUAGAGCUUAUAGGUUGACGUUGCAGCUAUCCAAACGUGGAGCUUUCAUCCGUACUUGGUAGGCCCUCAUUCUUUCGAGGAUGUGUACCGUUAUUAUCUAUCUUAGUUGUAGGAUAUAGCUAGUGGAGCAUGUUCCACUAGCGUUUAUUUCCACUUUUUUCAGACUUUAUAUUGGUGCCAUUUUGGCAAAAAUACGUUUAGUAAAAUUAUGAACUAAUUCUUUCA